CGAUCUGGAUGCAACUGUGACCCAAAUUCUGCAGCAUCAUCCCAACUCUGGAUACAAAAUGAUGGUUGGUCACCUGAAAGCACAAGGCAUAAACAUACAAAGACAACGUGUCCAGGAAUCCAUGAGGCGCGUGGAUCCUAAUGGAGUUGUGGUGCGCACACUUCAGCUGAACCCACAAAGGCGCAGGAAGUACUUUGUACCAGCACCGAACAGUUUAUGGCAUAUCGACGGAAAUCACAAACUGAUAAGAUGGCGUUUCGUUGUGCAUGGUGGUAUUGACGGCUUUAGUCGUUUAAUUGUGUACUUGAGUUCAGCCACCAACAAUCGGGCAGCAACAGUCUUAAGUAGCUUCUUGGAGGCUGUUGAUGUCUACGGCUUGCCAUCACGUGUCAGGUCAGAUAAAG